UUAAGUUCAGCGGGUAUUCCUACCUGAUCCGAGGUCAACCUUAGAAAAUUGGUUAAAAAGACCGGGUUAAAAGGUCCGACUAAACGCGUGCUAAUGAAAGCUCGUUGCAUCUAGGGUCCAAAUAACGCCGUCAUUAUCUUUAGGGCCUGUCGGUUUCAACGACAAGAGACCCAACAGCAAGCCAGGCUUGAUUAGUGAUA
rnacentral:misc_RNA from 1 species